GUACCUGAGGGAGGGAUGGGAUGGGCAGGUGUCUCAGGGGUGCUGGAGCAUUCAGCGAGGUCACUUUGAGAAGCCAAAAUGGAUUUGACAAACCAAGAACUCUGGGGAGUCCAGCUGGGCUCAGGAGCAGCCUCUGAGUUUCCUCAGGUCUGCUCAGGAAGGACAGGGUUCAAGAGAACCAAGGGGUACCAGACCAGAGCUAAAGGGAGCCUGAAGUGGGCUGGGAGGAUGAAGAGGGAGGCAGAGGCAGGAUUCAAGAGGCCUGGUAAGGUCAGGUGAGGGGUUCAGGGAAGCUUGGAGAUGGGGAACAGGUAUUGCAUAGGGAUUGUGAGGGUUCCUUGCAUGGGUUCCUAGAAUUCCCCUCCCCGCAGGUGGCCUAGAAUUAGGAAAAGCUCCCCGACUUUUCAGGUGGUAACGGGACAGGUAUGUGCAAGCCUAGCCACUGGCCAGCAACCACAGGAUGGAGAUCUCAUCCAGCAGCUGCCCCACGAAGCUGAGUGUCAUGUGGAAAUACAUGGAGAACAGACCUGUGGGUAGGCGGAGGCAAGCAGAGGCUGUAAGAGGCACUGUUUCCACAACGCUUCCACAGCUUCGCACACCAGCACAUACCUAUGACCAUGAAGAGGACUGAGACCCCGUAGAUGGCCCAGAUCUGGAGGCUGAGGCAGGAGGACUGCCAGGAGUUCCAAGUCAUCCUGGGCUACAGUGUAAGACCCUGUCAUGGUGUAAGAUCCUGUCUCCAACAGAGAGACAAGCAGAUGCAGCAAUACCUGUGCACAACAUCUGUCCUGUCUAAGGAGAAGGUUAUCUAAAGACUAUUUAAAGACUAUGGGGAAUUGCACAGGCUCUAAACUAACAUUACACCAUUGUAUAAAAGGGACCUGAAGGCCUGCAAGAGGGCUCAGCAGGUAAAGGUGCUUGCUGCCAAGCCUGAUGACCUGAAUCAGAUUCCUGGAACCCACUCAGUGAAGGAACAACUGACUCCCACAGACUGUCAUCUGAUGCUCCCACCAGCAUGCAUUCCCUACUACAAAGCCUGAGAGCCAAAAUAAACUCUUUCUUAAAUUGC